CGCACAUUGCGCCCUUUGGUAUUCCGAGGGGCACGCCCGUUCGAGCGUCAUUUCACCACUCAAGCCUGGCUUGGUGUUGGGUCCACGGGGGCGACCCGGACCCCAAAGUGUCGGCGGGAAAGCUCUGAUCUCAGCGUUGUGGCAAUCAAGUCCGCUGGCGAGAUGGGCCUUCCGUGCCGUUAAACCUCCAUCAAAGGUUGACCUCGGAUCGGGUGGGGAUACCCGCUGAACUUAA
rnacentral:misc_RNA from 1 species